rnacentral:rRNA from 1 species
GAUGAACGCUGGCGGCGCGCCUAACACAUGCAAGUCGAACGAGUGGCGAACGGGUGAGUAACACGUGACCAACCCGCCCCCCCCACCGGGACAACCUCGGGAAACCGAGGCUAAUACCGGCUAGGGGGGGGGGGGGUCGGGGCCCAUCAGGUAGACGGCGGGGCGAAGGCCUGCCGUGCCGAGGACGGGUAGCCGGGCUGAGGGGCCUAGCGGCCAAAUUGGGACGGAGGCACGGCUCGGACUCCUACGGGAGGCAGCAGUGGGGAAUAUUGCGCAAUGGGCGAAAGGCUGACGCGGCGACGGCGCGUGCGGGAAGGAGGGCUUGGGGUCGUAAACCGCUUUCAGCAGGGAAGCGGUACCUGCAGAAGAAGCCCCGGCUAACUACGUGCCAGCAGCCGCGGUAAUAC